AUACGUAGGGGGCAAGCGUUGUCCGGAAUCAUUGGGCGUAAAGGGCGCGUAGGCGGAUACUUAAGUCUGGUGUGAAAACCUAGGGCUCAACCCUGGGACUGCAUCGGAAACUGGGUAUCUUGAGGACAGGAGAGGAAAGUGGAAUUCCACGUGUAGCGGUGAAAUGCGUAGAUAUGUGGAGGAACACCAGUGGCGAAGGCGACUUUCUGGACUGUAACUGACGCUGAGGCGCGAAAGCGUGGGGAGC
rnacentral:rRNA from 1 species